GAUGAAGAACGUAGCGAAAUGCGAUAAGUAAUGUGAAUUGCAGAAUUCAGUGAAUCAUCGAAUCUUUGAACGCACAUUGCGCCCCCUGGUAUUCCGGGGGGCAUGCCUGUUCGAGCGUCAUUUCACCACUCAAGCCUCGCUUGGUAUUGGGCAACGCGGUCCGCCGCGUGCCAAAUCGACCGGCUGGGUCUUCUGUCCCCUAAGCGUUGUGGAAACUUUCGCUAAAGGGUGUUCGGGAGGCUACGCCGUAAAACAACCCCAUUUCUAAGGUUGACCUCGGAUCAGGUAGGGAUACCCGCUGAACUUAAGCAUAUCAAUAAGCGGAGGA
rnacentral:misc_RNA from 1 species